AUGUGUAUCUGGGAUUACCCUGAUCCAAGUGCAAAGUGUUGCACCUGGCCUUGUUGAACCUCAUUAUGUUCUUGUGGGCCCAAUUUUCAAGCCUGUCCAGGUCCCUCUGGAUGGCAUCCCUUCCUUCCGUCAUAUCAACUGUACCACUCAGGUUGGUGUCAUCAGCAAACUUGCUGAGGUUACACUUGAUCCCCCUGUCCGUGUCAUUGAGAAAGAUGUUAAAGAGCACUGAUCCCAAGAAGGACCCCUGUGGGACACUGCUCAUCAGUGACCUCUACCUGAACAUAGAUCCAUUGAUCGCAACUCUGUGACCGUCCAACCAAUUCUUUAUCCACAAAACAGAUGUAAUAUCAAGAUGCAAAAUAUAUAGAAUGCGUUAUAUAUAUAUGUAUAUAUAUCAUACUUUUCAAACAUAAGGCUGAGAUUACUAAGGACAUGUCCUUUAAUAUCGUCUGAGCUGGCAGGGUUGUGAGAUGGGAUCUUUGCAUCUUUGUUACUCUGCUUGUUUUCCAUUGCCUUGAGAUUUGGCUCCAUGCCUAGAGUGCUUUUAUUGUAGCUCUCCUCACCUGGGUCCUCAUCUUAUGGUAGAAGUUGUUUGUGUAAGUCCUAACUGCUGCACUUCUCCAGAGAUCCAUUGUCUUCUCAGAGGCUUCUAAUGUACAAGGAUCUCCCCUUAGGUCAGUGCACAGACAUUACACUGCAUCAUCUGUUCUCUCUCUCAUUGGUCAUUAUGAAAAUGCCAUUUGUUACUGCAGAUCAGGCUGGGAGACGACGUGUGGUGUGGUAUGGUGAUGGCUCUGUAGCUGACAGGAGCUUGCCUGAAUAAAGAGAGCAGAAUGUGACUUUCCAGGCUACCUCCACAGAUGCAUGUAAGUGUCUAGUGCCUUUUUGGUUCAUUGGAACUGAGGCAAAUUUCUCCAAAGUUCUGGGCUUUGGGAUUCAUUCUGCAUCCCUUGAAGCAUGUAACUGGUGGGUAAGUAAUCCUGGUUCAGCAGUAGAAGUGAUCCCACUGCAAGUUGGGAUCUCCAUUGAUCUUGCCUAAAAAGUUGUCGUGGUCUCUGAAUUAAUUCUGCAAAAUGCUGUUGCAGUUCUUAGCUGUGUAUCAGAUUCAGUAUAAUGAAAUAUUCUUCUGAAUGCAAGGGAUUGGCUUUCAGUUUUAUGUUGUCCUUGCAAAUGCCCUAAGCUAGCAGAAGAACCUGCUGUUUAAAAGGGAUGUGUCAAGGCUGUUGCUGUCUCCUAGCAGAAUGCCCAUCUUUGGGAUUAUUUUAUGCACAAGUGUAUCAGCUGAUACAAGUUUCCCCCAAAGUAAGAUAUAAAAAGCUCAGGUUAAGCACAAGUUCAGGAGGAGGCAUGAGCUAUGCUGAGCUUACGUCAGAAAAUUCCUUGUGCUGGUUUCUUCCCUUCGGCCCAACCCCUCUGCCCCUGCCAGGCAGGAGCCAUCCCUCUCAAGAACAGGUUGUUCUUCCAGCCAGCAUGAUACAUGGCUGGGCAUACAGACUCUGACAAAAAAAAAGACGUGAGACAUAUAACCAGAAACAUAAACCCUAGCGUGUCUUGUAGAAAUAUUCUGGUAAAGAGAGCUUCUGCUCUCAAGUGAAUUCAGCUGUGGGUUUCUAGGCAUAUAGACACACACAUGCACAACACUCAUGCAAAGGAAUUUUGCUGCAAACAGACAACUUUUUGUGCAGUUUUUUGCACUCCAUAUUUUUCAGUUCUGGAAAGAAUGUGCAAAUGAAAAUGUGUAAAACGGGAGUGGUGUUUGCUCCCUGGAUUUUCUGUGUCAAUGCUAAGAGAAAUACAAAAAACUAACAAGCUUGGAAAGAGUAACCCAGGAGUUUUAUUUAAGCAUGCAAAUCUGUUUUUAAGCAUCUCCUUAAAAACAAAAAAAGCCAGGAUAGUCAAGUCAUGCAGUCAUCAGCAAUAUUAUAGCACCUCUGGUAUUCAGCAUUUUUAUUAAGCAGCCUUCAGAAUUUUUGCAAGUGACUUAAGUGACAUAGUGCCAUUGACUUUAAAGAGCAUUCAAGUUUUCAGCUGCUAGCAGUCACCUCUGGAUGCUUGAAAUACAAAUCUCCCUGUCUGUCUAGCUAUUUCCUUCUUAAGACAGAGCACAUCUUGUGAAGCAAAGUAGCAUCUCCAAGGACCUGUUUCCAUAACAGCCUCUCAGAGGCUGUUUCUCUACCCUGUGACUUUGGCUACAUGCAAAAGCACCAUUGAAUAUGUUCAGUCCUCAGUUAUUAGCACGCCACCUUUACAGCCAUUUUCUUUGCUUACUGAAGAUCUCAUGAUGUUAUAUUGUGUACAGCUGCCCUAUCCAACUCCAGACUGACAGACUGUUAACAGACAGUGCAAACCAGGAUAUGGGAAGGGACUUUGUCUAUAUAUCCUUGCACACAGAGAGGUGAAGGGUGUGUGAAAGACACACUUACAGACAAGGGGGGGCAACUGGUCUAUGAGUUUUCUGAGUGCUCAAUAACAAGGAAUAUGAGCAGGAAUGUUGCUUUAAAAAACACAUAAUCCUUUUUCUAACAAUCUCACUAGGAAAUAAAGAUUUUCUGUGGACAAGAUUACCUCAAUUUCCUGAACCUUUGGCCAUUCUGUGACAAUCAGUUCUAAAAAUUUUCCCAUGGGAUGUUUUGCACCAAAUCAGAACAGGGGAGAAAUCAAUGAGGGAAGGAAAAGAAGAAUUUUAUUGUGAAUGCCUUUUUUAUCCACUGCUUAUCAACUAUCUGAAGGACCAUAGGUUUAAAAGGCAUGAAAAGUUGUUUUGCAAUAUUUCAGAGUCCACGUUACUGAAGGAUUCCUGCACUUUUCUACAAGGUGAAAUUUCUGUUCUGUUCCUGUUUGGAAAAUGUUGCAUGUUGAGAUUUUUGAGCAAUUUUCUGUUUUGGCCCUGAUCCUUCUGAUCCAGCUUAUAUGGAUAAAAGUCACUGCUACAGCAGCUGGAAGGAUGAAGGUGACAGGACUAAGUGUUCUCUACUAGGCCCACUCAUUCAAUGUAUGGAGAUCCCUGCAGAGAUAAAGAAGAAUGAGUAUAAAGGAAAUUCAAGGGAGCAAAAAGCAGGGUAAAGGCUGAAGCAUCUUUCAUACUGUGAUGAAAAGAACAGGAUCAUCCCUAAAAGCAAAGGAACUAACAGCUCCAGCUUCUUCUGUUGUAGCAGAAGUAGGUCCUGUUUACAUCAGAGAAUGCUGAUUAUAGCAGGAGUUAACCUCAGCUUUCCUGAAAACUCUCAUCUGACUUGAGUCCAAGUAAGUCUACUGAGCUCAGAAAAGUUAGGCUUCUCUUUGAGUUUAUAUUGGCAAAAACAAAAGCAGUAGCAUUUUUAAAUGCAAUGGUGGAAGUAUGCAGGCCAUGGACAAGUUUAAGACUAAAUGAGAUUCUGCACUCAGCUACAGCCAUGUAAGCACAAGAUAUCUCUAUGUACAUUGUAGUAACUGAGAUCUGAUCUCUUCAUCUCUGCUCUUGGAGCUUACUCUCCAGACAAAUCCCAUUCUGAAUACCUUUGUAGCCAUAUUAUCAGCAUGCUUAUAGUGCAAUUCCCAAUUUGCUGCCAUCUGCUUUACAUGUGAAGUUAAGGAGAGGAGAGGAGCAGGUGUCUGCAUGAUCAGAAGCCUUAAUCCUCUGAUAAAAUGAACAAUUGCCAAUGAAUGCUGAAUGUCCUUAGUUGCCAAAGGAAUAGUAAUGAAACUGCUUGUUAAUUACAAUAAGGAGUUCAAUGAUAUGGACAUUAGGUCCUAAGUAAGGCAAGACCGGUCAGGGAGAUAAACCCAGCAAAAUGUUUGUGGGGGAAAGUAGGCAGGGACCACAGUAAUACUGAUUUUCCAGUGUGGCUUAUGUUGUUAGUACACAUGUCAAUUCUGUAUGCCUUGCCUAACUGGAUGAGUUUUUGCUUGCUUCGAGUCAGCUCAGGGUUUGUUGGAUAGCACAAGAACUUGAAUAUUACAGCAUGGUUUUACACUUUACUCAUAACUGGAUUCAGUGUGAGUUUUACUUCAUUGAUAAACAUUCUCUGUAGGAAAUAUCCAUGUUGUAUAUACUGUACAUUUACAGAUUGAACUUUCCAGUGUCCAACUUCUUCUUAAUGAAAGAAAGAUCUUCUUAAUGAAAGAUUUGCAGGAGGGGAAUUUUAUGGAAAGUGCUCAUCAACUUUUGUGGUCACUCUAAAAUACAGAAGCUGUGUUGUCUCAGGGACAAGACUCAUGGGAAACCUUGCCUUCAUACAAAAUAUUGCUGGAAGUUCAGUAAAUAUGUCUUUGAAUUCACUUACACUAAAUGGAUAUAAAAAUAUUUACUAUAAAGUUUUGGAAGACCAUUUGUUGAAAAGUGCAAUAAAUCCCAAGGUAUUUCUCUGGGAUUGUAGCCACUGUUUAAAUAAAACCGGGAUCUGCAGCCACGUCUUUAGGUGUUGUAGGUUCAUUCACCUAAAAAGUUGUAUAUGAUUUUACACCAACAUAAGAUUUAACUUUUAGAGCACAUAUUGUUUUAUCCUCUUGCAUUCUCUGGAGAAAAAUGAAAUGUUAUUUGACAAAAAAAAAAAAAAAAAAGUGGAACAUUACUGUCUCCUCUUGCUGCUUUGUUGAUGAAUCUGUUGUUUUCAAUUAGAUUGAUGGCAUCCAUUUUCAGGAAGCAGAUGCUGCCCUCUUUUACAUUGGUUCAAUUCUGGAAAAGAUCCAUGUCAGUGAAGUGACUCCAGACUUGACUUACCUCCGGUGAAAGCAGAAUUGGACCACAGUCUCAUCAUUUGCUUAUAUGCUGUGAUGCUCUAGGAAGGUGCACUAUUACCAUACCAUAAGUUGAACCUGUGUGCUGUGCCAUACUCAACUCUUUUGUGCCCUUGACAGUUGUGAGCCUGGCAGAAGUCAGGCUGGUGUGGGGUUUUUGGGGUCACUAGAUGGCUCACAACAAAUGGAGCAGAUUCCAUUCCUAGAUCCUUGCCUGCUUUUCUAUCUCAAUUUCUGUCAAUUUCCUCUUGCUUGAUCUGUCUCUAAGGAGACAGAUUUUUUAUGGCAAGCAAUUAUAAUUACAAUCCUUAAAUAAUACAGUAACAGAAGGGUAGCAGAAGUAGGCAUGGAGACAAAUUUUACUCCUCCUACAGAUUUUUACUGUUAUGGCCAUCUGUGAAAAUUGUCACAGUCCUGUCAGGUUGGCUGUAGAUCUGCUGGCUGUGGGGUCUCUGUUUUCAGGAUAUACUAACUUUAAACAAAUCAGAUCACUUCUUUCUUGCUCCAAUACUUCUGAUUUUAAUGGUACCUUCCCUGAAAAAGCUCUACAUGGAAAAAUACCAGUUAAGAUGUAAUAGAUGAGGGUCAAUAAAUGAAAUACAGAGACAGUAAAGAACAGAGCAAAUCAUUGUGAGAAAGGAAGGAGGUUCUUAAAGGAGUUCUUCAAGGGUUACUCUCGGAUUGUUUAAAAGAUUUGCAGUAGGACUAAGAUAAAAUUUAGCAAUGAUGUAACCUGAGCAUCUCCAUGUGUGUGUGAAUGUGAAUGAUGAUUGAAUAAUGGACUUAAAGAAACUGGAAGAUACUAAGUAGCACAGCAAUUAAAAUAGUGAUAGGGAUUUUGACAGCAAGCAUAUCAGUUGUGGAAGACACAGAAUGGGAGUGGUAAGAUCAGUCAGAGUACUAGAGUCAAUUAGAGUCACGAGAGUGAUGAAGUCAUAAGCUUCAGAUACAGCUCUUGGAAGUCUCAGAACUUCUGCUGCCACCUGGGAAGUGUUAAUUCUUUAAGGCCUCAUCUGGAGUGUUAUGUGCCUUUGUGGUGACCUAAAUUUGGUGAAUUUUAACUCAGAGUGGGAAGGAUGCAUGGCAAUGGCAGCAAGAAUGAUCAGGUGGAUCAACACUACUUCACAAGACGAAUCUGGAAGAGCCUGUCUUUUCUAGACCAGCAAAAGAUUGGCAAGACCUGGAGUUACAAAAAUACUGGGGAUAGUAUUUAUUUUUAUUUAAGUUGAAAGGCUGUGAUAUUGGUGAACAAUGGGGCAGAAACUGUCAAUGAAUAAACUUAUGUUGGAAAGCAGUAAGUGAUUUCUAGUAUACCAGACAAGGAGAAAUGAAAACUUGUCUCAGGAGAAAAGCAAAUUGUUUUUUUUUCAAAUGAACUUUGGCAAAUUUGUAAAAGUGUUCUUAUAUAGAAGUAGUUACAUGCAAUGUUGAACCUGGAUUGUAUUUCAGAUGCCAAAUAUAUAAGCAAUUGUAUCUUAUUGCCUGUGUCCUCUGAAAACAUACAGCUUAGUUGCCAUAGUAUUGCCAUAACAAGUAGUUGCCAUAACAAGUAUGUUUAGGUGCAGGAUGCCCAAUCCUAUUGACUUUAUUAUUUAGUACUUGGGCAGUUUGGUGUGUGGGUAGGAAGAAGUGUGGGAGGAACACGAGUCUUUGGAGAUGGCUGUUUCUCUAUGGAACUGAGGGAAGAGAAAGAAGUGCUAGGAGUGGGUUAGGAUGGGGCAGGCAGUACCUGAUCAGUCUGUGCACUAGUCUGGAGGCAGGGGAAAGGCCCAUCCCUUAAGCUUUUCUUACUUUUUGCACUUUGAAAACACAGCAGUCUCUGUUCACUGCUCUUCCCCUCAACUGAGAAGUUCUGCUAAUUGUGUCUGGUCUUUUCUCCCUAUACAGAACUUUCCAGCUCUUCACUGAUCUUUCUUCUUCCUGGUAAUUCCUUUCUAUUAUUAACUUCCCAGUGUAUCUUCAGUAGCACAUUGCACCUAAUUUUGAGAAAAGCCUUGAGCAAGCUCUGCUGCAGCUCAGCUCGGGUUUCUGAUUUGGAUGCAGAAGUCAACAGUGACAAAUAACCUUCAUUGAAUUGAAGGUCAGCUAAGUUAAUAACAAUGGCCAACAAGAGGUUAGCAGAAUAAUUUUCUAUUAAAAGCGCUGUUCUGGCAGAGACAAAGUAAAGUCAUGGUUUCAUGUUUCUUCUUUCACCUCUUUGAGUUCAUCUCAUUCUGUGGCAAUGUGACUGAGACUUAGAGCUCAGGGGAUAAAACAAUGAUUGACCAAGGUGGGCUCUUCACCCACCCAUUCAGCUCUGUCACAAAAGCACUUAGGAAAAUCUAGUCAUAUUUUGUCCAUGAGCCUUCUAAUUUGCUGCUGCUCUGUGCUCACUUAUGUGAUGAAACCAUCAUCUUGUGAUUAGAAUAGGAUAGAUAGAAUAUCUAUAUUCUGGCAAGCAAGUUCAGUUGUUUUGUUUUGUUUAUUUUUAACUCUCCUUUUUAAUUCCUUAAUUAGAAAAAAAAAGAAAAACAAAGCAAAAUUUAACCAAAUAAUCAUGCACAUUAUGGAAACAUGUGAACAUGAACACCAAGCUCUAUCGAUGAUGUCAGUAUGGUGCACACAAAUCUGGCUGUGAGUAAGUUAUACUAAGGGCUUGUCAUCAUUUCUUGAGUUACAACAGUAAGAAAAAGGGAAAAGCAAGUUAUCUUAUGAUAUUUACAGAGUGAUCCAGCAAGUUUAAUUUGAACCAUAAACACACUGUUGCAUCUGUUUCUGAGCUCAAUUGAUUUUAACAUUGAUAGAAGAAGCCACUAUUAGUAUAUGCUUAAGUACAUCUUAAUUACAGCUGUUACAUUAUAUGCAGUGCAGUUGUGUAUGCCUUAGUCUUGAAGCAUGAAACAUAUUAAUGGUAAAGAUCCUACAGGAGUAAUCACUAUCAGCAAAAAGCUGAUCAAAGUGCUUAUAUGAUUAAAAUCAUAUGUGGCAUUUCAGAGCUCAAAGAACUUUCCAGUGGUGAGAAAGCAUUAUUACAAUUAGAUUUUACAGUGGUGAUAGAAUAAGGCACAAUUAGCUAUGAAGAGUGGUAGGAAAAUGAAAGUAUAAAUGAGCAGAACCCAUGAAUCCUUCUUUGGUGCUACAGAACAAAUUCUGCCUAUUCUUGGCCAUAGUAACUGUGGUUGAAGCUGUUAAUAUCACAAAGUAGUCAGGUAAAUAGCACAGGCGCAAAUCCUGCAUGUAAAUGAUGUUGAUUCAUGAGGAUAUGGAAGAAACAUGGGAGAUGCAUUGUAUAUUUCUCAAGAUCUGAAAUAUGCUGUAAUUUUAAUAGUACUGUCAGAUACAAUCCUUUUAGCGCUGUACUCUAGGGGCGUUCAUGCUUAUGAAAUGAUACCCACAAAAAAUUCAUCUUUGUAGUCUGUCCUUGGAGAUGACAUAAUGAGUUUCAAAAACACUCUUGAGGGUGUUCAGUAUUGCUUAUUCAUUUGUCUGGUAUCUGACAAAUAGUUUUCUACAGUGCUCUGCAAAUAUUUAUGUAAGUCAUAUUUCCAUCAAAAAAAGGCCUCUUUUUCAAGAUCUGCUAUGUCUGUGAGAACAUUUUGACUUCAGUUUUCAGUCUCUUUAGAAAAUGAAUUAUUUGAAAGUUUUGUAAUAUGCCUGGUUAUUUUUAUAAUGUUCUGAUUUUUUAAAAAUUUUUAACAUGUAUGUAAACAGGUAAAAUGCAAAUUUUGCAUUUAUAUCUUUUGUACUUCGAUCUAUAAUGAAAGACGCAAUUAUUAUUAA